rnacentral:pre_miRNA from 1 species
CAACUACUCCCUCUGUCCCAAAUUUCUUGUCUUAGAUUUGUCUAAAUACGGAUGUAUCUAAUACUAAAAUGUGACUUGAUACAUCCGUAUCUAGACAAAUCUAUGACAAGAAUUUUGGGACGGAGGGAGUACUUU